GCGUCCGUAGCUCAGCCGGAUAGAGCAACGGACUUCGAAUCCGUAGGUCACACGUUCGAAUCGUGCCGGACGCA
rnacentral:tRNA from 1 species